UAUUUUUUAACCUAAUUUCAAACCCCUUCACCGCGUGCUGCACAGCAAGCCCCCUAGUUUUUCUUCUUCUUUCUUCCUUCUCCCGACAGCCAUCGCCCGCUACACUCCAGCCCGUCUUCUCUUCUUCUUCUCCGCCCAGUCGCCGCCAGCCGUUGCAUCAACCUCUGUUAGCAAGCUCCGUUGUCGUCGUCAUCAUCUCUUCGUUCGUAGCAGCACAUCUCCGACUCUUUCUCUCUCUCUCUAUCCGUUUCACACGUUUGGUCGACCGCUGGCCAAGCUUACCUCGUCGGACCAGUAGAUCUGUGACCCGAUCGAUCUCUAUUGCAAAGUCCGGCAGUCGCGCGUAGUGCAGCAAGGUUGCGUCGCUUCCUUGUCGCCGACCACCUCAAUCUCCCUCUUUUCGUCGCCCGCUGCAGCCUCACAAGAAUACAACCGUCAUUCUUCUUCAAGUCGAGUCGAGUCAUGAGCCAAGUCGAGCCGCGAGCCUAGCUGAGCCACAAACCAAGCCGAGUCGAGUCGACCCAACCCGAGUCGAGCUGCCUCCCAAGCCAAAGACAAUUUACCAAGUCGAUCUCCCUAUUCACCGAGCCACUUAAGCCGUUUCCCUCCACGUUGAGUCACAGUGAGUCUUUGGUGUUAGAGAGGUGACGCUCGAAUUCUUUGGUUUUACGGCAAGUGUAGUUUGGAGUCAACUCUCCUCUACUUGGGUGGAUUCGUUUUGAACAUUGACUUGAACACGGAUUGUAGCUAAAUCUCAGGUAAGAGGUUUCUUCCUAUUAGACCCCAAACCGAGACAGGAAACAUAGCAACUCUUAUGAAGAUUUUACAAUAGCGACUCUACUGAAUUAAUUGAUACAUGUAUGCCUAGAAAACAUCAUUAGUAUGCACUAUUGACUGGUUAAAGGUGACAUGAUUGUUAGUUGUAGCUUAUAUAUAUGUGUGUGUGUGAAUGGGUCGUUCCGUUGAUGAGGCUUGGAUGCUUAAAAUGUUAUGCGUAGUUUGUAUAUAUGUGAAUAGGUUGUUCUGCUGAUAGAGUACGGAUGCCCGGAUGCCCGAAUGUUCUGUGUAAUAUAGUUAUAUGGAUGGACUGUGCUGUUAGCUGAAAUAGUGAGGUCGAUGGAAUAAGAAAAUCUUGAUGUUAUGUAUAACUGAAUUAUGUUGUUGGGUUGCAUAUUAUUGAGUUAUGUUGUUGAUGGACUAAGGGUUCGGGAACUCAUGUGUAGGUUGUGUAUUUGCUGAUGGGUUGUGCUGUAGACUGAAUAUGGACGUUAUACAUAACAUAGAGUACAUAUAGUUGUGCUAUGGUUUGGAGUGAGAUGAAGUGAUUAUCAGGUGAACUUACAAAAUAAUGAUUUAACUCAGUGACUAGAUCUCAGUAAUAUAACAGUAUUAUGUGGAUUGGAUAUAUGUAUAGUGACAGAUGAGACUAUUGGCUAAACCUAAACUGUCUGACUGACUAAACUUAUAAACUGAACUGUUAGCUUGAACGAUAUUGUGAUAUGACUGUUGUAGACGGUUUAAUAUGGAAUGAGGGGUAACAGUUAGCUUUAUCUAUGGGGUAGUGUACCUUAACAAGCACGGUGUCCUUCGGGAUUCCUCAUCUGAUAUGUGCAUCCUUUGGGAUCACUAGACUGAUAGUGUAUCCUUCGGGAUCACUAGACUGAUAAGUGUAUCCGACAGAAUCACUAGACUGAUUGAUGUGUGCAUUCUACGGAAUCACUAGACUGUUUCAUGUAGGGUACCCCUUAAUAGGAAGCUAACUGUUAUUACCCGAACGAGCCCAGUAGUGGAUCCCUUACCAAGUAUAUUUUUGUA